rnacentral:rRNA from 1 species
GACGAACGCUGGCGGCGUGCCUAAUACAUGCAAGUAGGACGCAGUUGCGAACGGGUGAGUAACGCGUAGGUAACUACCUAUUAGAGGGGGAUAACUAUUGGAAACGAUAGCUAAUACCGCAUACUAGUAGAUGGAUCUGCGUUGUAUUGGCUAGUAGGUAGGGUAAUGGCCUACCUAGGCAACGAUACAUAGCCGACCUGGGGAGGGGAACGGGCCAACUGGGACUGGGACACGGCCUCGACUUCUAAGGGAGGCAGCAGUAGGGAAACUUCGGCAAAUGGGGGAAACCUGACCGAGGAAAGCCGCGUGAGUGAAGGAGGUUUUUCGAUCGGAAAGCUCUGUUGUUAAGGAAGCGGUACUUAACCAGAAAGGGACGGCUAACUACGUGCCAGCAGCCGCGGUAAUAC